rnacentral:rRNA from 1 species
CCCAAUGACAUCCCACGAAGACAUCCGAAUGGGAUUAAAGAUUUAUCGGUGAUGGAUGGGGAUGCGUCUGAUUAGCUUGUUGGCGGGGUAACGGCCCACCAAGGCUACGAUCAGUAGGGGUUCUGAGAGAGGAAAANGGGNUUUCCCCCCCACAUUGGAACUGAGACACGGUCCAAACUCCUACGGGAGGCAGCAGUGAGGAAUAUUGGUCAAUGGGCGAGAGCCUGAACCAGCCAAGUAGCGUGCAGGGUGACGGCCCUAUGGGUUGUAAACUGCUUUUAUAAGGGAAUAAAGUGGGUCACGUGUGACUUUUUGCAUGUACCUUAUGAAUAAGGACCGGCUAAUUCCGUGCCAGCAGCCGCGGUAAUACGGAAGGUCCGGGCGUUAUCCGGAUUUAUUGGGUUUAAAGGGAGCGUAGGCCGGAGAUUAAGCGUGUUGUGAAAUGUAGAGGCUCAACCUCUGCACUGCAGCGCGAACUGGUCUUCUUGAGUACGCACAACGUGGGCGGAAUUCGUGGUGUAGCGGUGAAAUGCUUAGAUAUCACGAA